GAUGAACGCUGGCGGCGUGCUUAACACAUGCAAGUCGAACGGAAAGGCUCCUGCUUGCAGGGGUACUCGAGUGGCGAACGGGUGAGUAACACGUGGGUGAUCUGCCCUGCACUUCGGGAUAAGCCUGGGAAACUGGGUCUAAUACCGGAUAGGACGAUGGUUUGGAUGCCAUUGUGGAAAGUUUUUUCGGUGUGGGAUGAGCUCGCGGCCUAUCAGCUUGUUGGUGGGGUAAUGGCCUACCAAGGCGUCGACGGGUAGCCGGCCUGAGAGGGUGUACGGCCACAUUGGGACUGAGAUACGGCCCAGGCUCCUACGGGAGGCAGCAGUGGGGAAUAUUGCACAAUGGGCGCAAGCCUGAUGCAGCGACGCCGCGUGGGGGAUGACGGCCUUCGGGUUGUAAACUCCUUUCGCUAGGGACGAAGCGCAAGUGACGGUACCUGGAGAAGAAGCACCGGCUAACUACGUG
rnacentral:rRNA from 1 species